GGAGGAGGUUGGACCAAGACCCACUGGCUGGGAGAGGCCGUCUUGGCUGGAGUGAUGGCGGGCCUCAGACAGAAGAGGAAAAUGAGGCUCCUCAGGCUGGAGUGCAGUGGCGCUAUCUCAGCUCGCCGCAACCUCUGCCUCCCAGAUUCAAGUGAUUCUCCUGCCUCACCCUCCCAAGUAGCUGGGAUUACAGGGAUCCACAUCUUCUGGACCCAACUGUGGAAUAUGUGAAGUUCUCCAAGGAGAGGCACAUCAUGGACAGGACCCCCGAGAAGCUGAAGAAGGAGCUGGAGGAGGAGCUGCUGCUGAGCAGCGAGGACC
rnacentral:sRNA from 1 species